rnacentral:lncRNA from 1 species
GAGGGACUCUGGCCCAUCUCCCGUCAGGCAGCAAAUGACUCAUUGCAUAACAACUUCAGUAAAAGAGUAUUUUUUUCUUCUUCUUCCUUUCCCAUGUUCUGCAGUGAAACAAAGAGCUGAAUUUUCCAAAAAGCCACCAGGGCUCUUUUUCGGGAGCUUCACCUCCUAAGGCCACUGAGAAAGUUACCACCUGAAUAAAUGUCAUCAGCUGUCACCCUGGUAGGGAUGGAGACCAAAAGCAUGGCUGCUUCUUCGAGGGGUACAGACAUGGUGAGCAGCUGGUGUGUCGCUGGUGAGUUGUUAUUCACCAGCCUGAUUGACCCAUUCCUGCCAUGUGUGGACCAAGCAGUGCUGGAUCCUGCAGGAAUACGGCAGCCCUGGAUGCUCACCAACCUCUGACCACCCAGACCUUCGUAUCCCCCUUGUCCAUGCCAGCUAGGGAGGUAGCGCACAGCAAGGACAUCACCACUGUGUAGCCUCCCAAAGCCCUGCUGGCUGGAAGAGCAUUUUCCCAACGAGAAGAAACAAAUAGAAAAGUGCCGUCACGCUUCCUACAUCGCUUCCAACUGAGUGACUAGUAAUGAGCACCGUGUUUGCGGAAAGUUGACCAAUUCUGCUGAGUUUUGCCCGCUGCCGUACUUCACCAGAUGCUAUUGCACAGGUCUUCUGCGCUACAGGAGGCAGAGAUUGCCUGUCCCACCGUGUGUCCUUCCUUACCAGUUCACAAAGCAGAUGAUAAAUAACUAAUCAAAGAAUUAAGCUGGAAUGAGUGGAAGUUAGCGAAACACGAGCCAUGCCUUGCUGGCCCUUCGCAGGAUCCUUUUGCCAGAGAAGAAGAGAAAUGCCACAGCGUGACAGAUCCUCCUUCCCGGCCGGGGCUGUGUGUGUGAGCUGGGGGACUGUGCCUGUGGCCGGGCACACAGGGUCUGGACAGACAGACAGACAGCACGGUUGCUGGGGGAGAGGGAAAGGAUGGGAUUUCCAUCUCCCGCCCGCACUCAGCUUUUCCAGGCAUCUGUCUGUGUUUAGACCUGAUAAACAUGAAGUGUGCUGAAGCUCAUCCUACGGGAGAUGCACAGG